rnacentral:rRNA from 1 species
UAGGGAAUCUUCGGCAAUGGACGGAAGUCUGACCGAGCAACGCCGCGUGAGUGAAGAAGGUUUUCGGAUCGUAAAGCUCUGUUGUUAGAGAAGAACGUUGGUAGGAGUGGAAAAUCUACCAAGUGACGGUAACUAACCAGAAAGGGACGGCUAACUACGUGCCAGCAGCCGCGGUAAUACGUAGGUCCCGAGCGUUGUCCGGAUUUAUUGGGCGUAAAGCGAGCGCAGGCGGUUCUUUAAGUCUGAAGUUAAAGGCAGUGGCUUAACCAUUGUACGCAUUGGAAACUGGAGGACUUGAGAGCAGAAGGGGAGAGUGGAAUUCGAUGUGUAGCGGUGAAAUGCGUAGAUAUAUGGAGGAACACCGGUGGCGAAAGCGGCUCUCUGGUCUGUAACUGACGCUGAGGCUCGAAAGCGUGGGGAGCAAACAGG